rnacentral:rRNA from 1 species
AUUGAACGCUGGCGGCAGGCCUAACACAUGCAAGUCGAGCGAGCGGCGGACGGGUGAGUAAUGUCUGGGAAACUGCCUGAUGGAGGGGGAUAACUAUUGGAAACGGUAGCUAAUAUCGCAUACCAUCAGAUGUGUCCAGAUGGGAUUGUCGAGUAGGUGGGGUAACGGCUCACCUAGGCGCCGAUCCCUAGCUGGUCUGAGAGGAUGACCAGCAACACUGGAACGGAGACACGGUCCAGAAUCCUACGGGAGGCAGCAGUGGGGAAUAUUGCACAAUGGGCGCAAGCCUGAUGCAGCCAUGCCGCGUGUGUGAAGAAGGCCUUCGGGUUGUAAAGCACUUUCAGCGGGGAGGCGUUACCCGCAGAAGAAGCACCGGCUAACUCCGUGCCAGCAGCCGCGGUAAUAC